rnacentral:rRNA from 1 species
AUUGAACGCUGGCGGCAGGCUUAACACAUGCAAGUCGAGCGAGCGGCGGACGGGUGAGUAAUGUCUGGGAAACUGCCUGAUGGAGGGGGGUAACUACUGGAAACGGUAGCUAAUACCGCAUAACAUCAGUGGUGCCCAAAUGGGAUUAGCUGGUAGGUGGGGUAAUGGCUCACCUAGGAGACGAUCUCUAGCUGGUCUGAGAGGAUGACCAGCCACACGGGAACGGGGACACGGUCCAGACUCCUCCGGGAGGCAGCAGUGUGAAAGAUUGCACAAUGGGCGCAAGCCUGAUGCAGCCAUGCCGCGUGUGUGAAGAAGGCCUUCGGGUUGUAAAGCACUUUCAGCGAGGAGGCGUUACUCGCAGAAGAAGCACCGGCUAACUCCGUGCCAGCAGCCGCGGUAAUAC